rnacentral:misc_RNA from 1 species
UCUGGCUUAUCACCGGCAGUCCCCCUAGAGUGCCCACCAUUACGUGCUGGCAACUAAGGACAAGGGUUGCGCUCGUUGCGGGACUUAACCCAACAUCUCACGACACGAGCUGACGACAGCCAUGCAGCACCUGUCUCACGGUUCCCGAAGGCACCCCUCGAUCUCUCAAGGGUUCCGUGGAUGUCAAGACCAGGUAAGGUUCUUCGCGUUGCAUCGAAUUAAACCACAUACUCCACCGCUUGUGCGGGCCCCCGUCAAUUCCUUUGAGUUUCAGUCUUGCGACCGUACUCCCCAGGCGGCGAACUUAACGCGUUAGCUUCGACACUGAGCUCUCAAUUGAGCCCAACGUCCAGUUCGCAUCGUUUAGGGCGUGGACUAC